rnacentral:tRNA from 1 species
CGGGAUGUAGCGCAGUUUGGUAGCGCGUCGCAUUUGGGUUGCGAAGGUCCAAGGUUCGAAUCCUUGUAUCCCGA